CUCCUACGUGGCUAGUUUUCAACUACCAUCCAGAAGCCACUGAACAGGGGACUGGGAGGAGGUGUGUUCAGUGGGCUCUUGCGAGUGUGUGCGACCGGUUCUGAGCCUGGGCUGGCUGGCUUCAGCACACCCGUGUGCCCAGUCUCCUUGAAGUCACGCCCUCUGAAAUGCCAUCUUCCCAGCCCCAGUGCCUUUCCUAAACCUUUGGGCAGAAUGAGAACUUUUCAAGUGACCACUUGUCACAAGCCCUGUUGCAGCCUGCAUUGAGAAUGUUCAAUAAAGGUUUGCUGAACGGGAUUGAAUGGAACGGCAGGCCAGAGGGAGUUUUAGAUCUGCCUUCCCAAUAAAGACAAUUACC
rnacentral:lncRNA from 1 species